GACAGAGGAUGCAAGCGUUAUCCGGAAUGAUUGGGCGUAAAGCGUCUGAUAGGUGGCUUUUAAGUCCGCCGUCAAAUCCCAGGGCUCAACCCCUGGACAGGCGGUGGAAACUACCAAGCUGGAGUACGGUAGGGGCAGAGGGAAUUUCCGGUGGAGCGGUGAAAUGACGUAGAUAUGCGGAGGAACACCGAUGGCGAAGGCAAUCCCCUGG
rnacentral:rRNA from 1 species